GCCAUGUGCACAGGGGGCAUUGAGAAAUAUCUCUGGACCAAUCACCUAAAAGAUGUGACUCUCCUCACUUGCCUGGACUCUGCUCAGAAUAGAGAUUUCGACACAUCAGUGGGUUCAACACCUAGGUGAUGCGGCUCUUCCUUCUUUUCUGGGCUCUUCCAUCAGAGAAGAUUGUGACAUUUUCUGAGCCCAGCACUCAAGUGAGGUGACUUGUCUCCCUGGACUCUCCCCACAGACAGCAUUGUGAAAUAUCUUUGGGAUCAUCACCUAGGCAUGGAAUCCCAGGGAAUAUCCUGCAUUCUCAGUGUCCAGCUGUCUGAUGCCACAGUUGUUUAUGAUGAUCGAGGACAACUACGUUUUUCUGAGGAGACUUACCACCUCAUGGCUGAGGUAAGCUGGAUUCUAUAGAACAUUGAUUCUAUUUUCUCCUUCCUAUGUGAGCUGGGGUUACUUCUUUAGUUUUUCCUCUAAAGAUGAAAUUAUAUUUGUCAAUAAUUGUGUAAAAUAGAGACAUAAGUCUGGGAAGUAGACACUUAGAUACAACCCUCAGCAGAAAUUUUAGCCUGUUUCUCUUCUCAUUUUUAUUCAUUUGACACAGAGAGAUGCCCUGACAUGUGGUCUCUCAAGAGUAAUUAGAACAUUGUACUUCUAGAAAAGCUGAUGGGACAGGGCAGGGCUUUGAGUGAGGAUCCAAGCUUCUGUCCAAAUCUCCCAGUCUCUCUGUAUGUGGUAGGUGGAGUCAGGAAAUAUCCUAGAGUUCUGUUAGAUAUUAUUAAGAGAAAACAAAAUUUCUGUAAAUUAGAGUACUAGGGAACAUGUUCAUCAGUCAUCUUCAGAGUCAGAUGUUCAGGGUUGAGCCUGUGUGGGAGAGCACAGAGCAAUGUAUGCCUAGCAAAGCCUCUGAUCAUGUGUGAAUGGUGAGGCUCUGGUUCAGGGAGAAGUCCUGUAUCUGACAGAACAUGAUGGUUCUGUGCAUGUGAGACUCAGUGCCCUUCCUCAGCAGAGCAACACUGAGUAAAUAAGUGUUUUAGGAUCAAGCAUAUGAAGGCCAAUUUUAUUUUGAAUUUAUCAAAGACAGAAACAGGAAAAAUUUUUAUACACUUUCAAAUUGAGUAAGAGCAUCAGAAACUUCAGUAAAAAAGGCACAGGAGGAAUCUCUGGUUUCUUAUUCAUCCCCAGAAACCACAAAAAUCCUGAUACAACCUUUAAUAAUUUACCUUGUAAAAACUUGAUUUUUUCAUUGUAUAGAUUUAUCUUUCAUUUGACCUUUAUUUUACUGCAGGUUAUAAUUAGCACGUUAUUUUUUACCUUUAUGAUAGAAACAUCAGAUUCCUAAACCCAAAGCAUUAAUGAUGUCUACCCAACUGUAGUUUGUAUUGCCAGUUGACUUUUUUGCUAUCCUCUGAGUUUGUGUCUCCUUGUAAAAACUCAUUUGUAAAAACUUAAUCAUUAAUAUGAUAGUUUUAAAACAUGGAGCCUUGUGGGAAGUGACUCACUCAGGAGGGCUUCAUCCUCAUAAAUGUAAUUAAUACCCUGUAAUAGAGGUUGAAGGGAGCACUUUUGUCCUUGCCACCAUGUGAGGCACAGCAAGAAGGCACCAUUUAUGAGAAACAGGAUCCUCACCAGACCCUGAAUUUGCUGGUGCUUUGAUCUUGAACUUUACAGCCUCCAGAACUGUGACCAAUAUAUUUCUGUUAUUUAUACAUUAGCCAGUCUAAUGUAUUUUAUUUAACAGCCUGAACAGAGACACUUUCUCAUACACUGUGGUUUAUUUUAAAUUUGUACUUCCACUGAGCUAUCCAUAUAUUCAUAAAUCAGCAUGUCUCAUAGGGUGGCAUAGCCACUCUACUUUUUCAGAGUUUUCUCAGCUGUUCUCACUUAUGUUUCCAUCUAUAGGAGUCUUGCAAUAAAGUGGCUGCUUCCAAUACCAGAUGGUAUCUCUACUGGGACAAAAUUAAAUUUCUGAAUUACUUUGAAGAAAAAUGAUGAUUGAGUGAUAUUGAGCAUUUCUACCUUAGAACAUGAUUUGGUUUUCCAUUUGUUUAUGCUGAUUUUCUUAUAUUUCAAGGACUUUUUAUGGUCUUUCUCAUAUGCUUAACAAAUGUUUGUUAGAUUUAUGUAUAGCUAGUUUAUUUUAUUUAGUCCUGUUAAAAAGUAAACUGUAGCACAAUACAAAUUUUAAAAGUUUUCUUGGCUGGGAAUGGUGGCUCAUAUCUGUGAUUCCAGCACUUUGAGAGGCCAGGUUGAGGGGAUUACUUGAGCCCAGAAGUUUGAGGCCAGCCUGGGAAAUAUAGUGAGACCCUGUCUCUACAAAAUACAAGAAGAAAUUAGCCAAGUGUGGUGGUGCAUGCCUGUAGUUGCAGCUACUCAUGGGGCUAAGGUGGGAGGAUGGCUUGAGCUCAGGAUGUAAGGCUGCAGAGAGCUUUGAUUCUGUGUACACACUCCAGCAUGGACAAUAGAGCAAGAACCCGUUUUAAAAAUAUUUUCUUGAGAAAGAAGCAACUUAUGAAUUGUGGAACACCAGAGCAAGAGAGGCUUUCCACUUCAACGGCAAAGUGUCAGAGGCAUUCACAAAAAAUAGCUCACGUUAUGUUUUGCUUAUUUGCAAGUCAACAAGAUGAGGUCCCUGAGGAUGUCUAACUGAUUCUGUCCACUCGGGAAUGUUUCGGACUUGGUCUUCCUUUUAAUUUACUUUAUAAAUCAUUUUGUAAUUUUUAUCUCCUACUCAUUCUGUAACAGGUAACACAACUGACCAGAAGAAAAACAGCCUAGAUCCUGAGCAUUCAGCCUGUGUCUUCACACAACAAACACCACCUGAGUCCCAUCAAAGCCUGUGUUGUUUCCCAACAUCCACCAUUGAGACAUAUUCCAGAGCAGCCUCUCAAAAUCACCUAAACAAGAUGGAACAAGAAGGUGGAGCCAGACGUACAGGGCGGAACAUGAAAGUGGACCAGGAGCGUGACCGCUGAAGCACAGCACCACAGGAAGAGGUUUAGGCCUCUGGAUGACUGCGGGCGGGCCUGACUCAUGUCAGGCCUUCCACAAGAAGUGGUGGAGCAGAGUCUUCCCCAACUCUCCCAGGGAAAGGGAGACUCCCUUUGCCGGUCUGCUAAGUAACCGGUGCCUUCCCAGGCACUGGCGUUACCGCUAGACCAAGGAGCCCUCUAGUGGCCAUGUCUGGGCAUAACUGAGGGCUCACACUCUUCUGGUCACUUAUCACCCUUCAGCUCCUAUCUCUGUAUGGCCUGGUCUUUCCUAGGUUAUAAUUGUAGAACGGACAUUAUUAUAAUAUUGGAAUAAAGAGUAAUGCUACAAACUAAUAAUAAUAAUAUUCAUAUAUAAUCAUAUCUAUAUUCUAUUUCUAGUAUGACUAUUCUUAUUCUCUAUAUUUUCUUUAUUAUACUGGAACAACUUGUGCUUUCUAUCUCUUGGCUCAGCACCUGGGUGGCUUGCUGCCCACAAGAAUAGCCCAUCCUAAUUUUUUGUUUUACAUCUACUAUAAAUCAAAUAGAUUUUGUUCCAUAUUUUAUAGUGGAAUUUAAGAUGAAACCCACAUUGUUAAAUAUGUGAGAUUGAUUAUAAGCUCAUCAAGGAGGUUUUUACUCAGUGAGGGAAUUCAGAGAACAUAAAGUUGCAAAGGCAGAAGCAAAUGUUUUGAAUGAAUUUUGAGAGACAAUACUAACAGAAGUGCUUCCCACUUUUAUGACUCAUAUGACUCAUAUGAUCUUUCUGUAGGAAAAACUGCCUCUAAUUGUAGACACUGGUUCAUAGCAGAUGCUAAAUGAACCAG
rnacentral:lncRNA from 10 species